CCUGGUGUCGAUGGUGCGGUGGAACCACGCUGACCCCAUUCGAACUCAGGUGUGAAACGUCGAAACGGCGACGAUAGUUGAAGGGUAGCCUCCUGCAACAAUAGCUCGAUGCUAGGG
rnacentral:rRNA from 2 species